rnacentral:rRNA from 1 species
GGGCUAAACCAUGCACCGAAGCUGCGGCAGCGACACUGUGUGUUGUUGGGUAGGGGAGCGUUCUGUAAGCCUGUGAAGGUGUGUCGUGAGGCAUGCUGGAGGUAUCAGAAGUGCGAAUGCUGACAUAAGUAACGAUAAAGCGGGUGAAAAGCCCGCUCGCCGGAAGACCAAGGGUUCCUGUCCAACGUUAAUCGGGGCAGGGUGAGUCGACCCCUAAGGCGAGGCCGAAAGGCGUAGUCGAUGGGAAACAGGUUAAUAUUCCUGUACUUGGUGUUACUGCGAAGGGGGGACGGAGAAGGCUAUGUUGGCCGGGCGACGGUUGUCCCGGUUUAAGCGUGUAGGCUGGUUUUCCAGGCAAAUCCGGAAAAUCAAGGCUGAGGCGUGAUGACGAGGCACUACGGUGCUGAAGCAACAAAUGCCCUGCUUCCAGGAAAAGCCUCUAAGCAUCAGGUAACAUCAAAUCGUACCCCAAACCGACACAGGUGGUCAGGUAGAGAAUACCAAGGCGCUUGAGAGAACUCGGGUGAAGGAACUAGGCAAAAUGGUGCCGUAACUUCGGGAGAAGGCACGCUGACACGUAGGUGAAGUGAUUUACUCACGGAGCUGAAGUCAGUCGAAGAUACCAGCUGGCUGCAACUGUUUAUUAAAAACACAGCACUGUGCAAACACGAAAGUGGACGUAUACGGUGUGACGCCUGCCCGGUGCCGGAAGGUUAAUUGAUGGGGUCAGCGCAAGCGAAGCUCCUGAUCGAAGCCCCGGUAAACGGCGGCCGUAACUAUAACGGUCCUAAGGUAGCGAAAUUCCUUGUCGGGUAAGUUCCGACCUGCACGAAUGGCGUAAUGAUGGCCAGGCUGUCUCCACCCGAGACUCAGUGAAAUUGAACUCGCUGUGAAGAUGCAGUGUACCCGCGGCAAGACGGAAAGACCCCGUGAACCUUUACUAUAGCUUGACACUGAACAUUGAGCCUUGAUGUGUAGGAUAGGUGGGAGGCUUUGAAGCGUGGACGCCAGUCUGCGUGGAGCCGACCUUGAAAUACCACCCUUUAAUGUUUGAUGUUCUAACGUGGACCCGUAAUCCGGGUUGCGGACAGUGUCUGGUGGGUAGUUUGACUGGGGCGGUCUCCUCCUAAAGAGUAACGGAGGAGCACGAAGGUUGGCUAAUCCUGGUCGGACAUCAGGAGGUUAGUGCAAUGGCAUAAGCCAGCUUGACUGCGAGCGUGACGGCGCGAGCAGGUGCGAAAGCAGGUCAUAGUGAUCCGGUGGUUCUGAAUGGAAGGGCCAUCGCUCAACGGAUAAAAGGUACUCCGGGGAUAACAGGCUGAUACCGCCCAAGAGUUCAUAUCGACGGCGGUGUUUGGCACCUCGAUGUCGGCUCAUCACAUCCUGGGGCUGAAGUAGGUCCCAAGGGUAUGGCUGUUCGCCAUUUAAAGUGGUACGCGAGCUGGGUUUAGAACGUCGUGAGACAGUUCGGUCCCUAUCUGCCGUGGGCGCUGGAGAACUGAGGGGGGCUGCUCCUAGUACGAGAGGACCGGAGUGGACGCAUCACUGGUGUUCGGGUUGUCAUGCCAAUGGCACUGCCCGGUAGCUAAAUGCGGAAGAGAUAAGUGCUGAAAGCAUCUAAGCACGAAACUUGCCCCGAG